UGGGGAAUUUUGGACAAUGGGCGCAAGCCUGAUCCAGCCAUGCCGCGUGCAGGAUGAAGGCCUUCGGGUUGUAAACUGCUUUUGUACGGAACGAAAAGGUGCCUUCUAAUAAAGGGCGCUCAUGACGGUACCGCAAGAAUAAGCACCGGCUAACUACGUGCCAGCAGCCGCGGUAAUACGUAGGGUGCGAGCGUUAAUCGGAAUUACUGGGCGUAAAGCGUGCGCAGGCGGUUUUGUAAGACAGAGGUGGAAUCCCCGGGCUCAACCUGGGAACUGCCUUUGUGACUGCAAGGCUGGAGUGCGGCAGAGGGGGAUGGAAUUCCGCGUGUAGCAGUGAAAUGCGUAGAUAUGCGGAGGAACACCGAUGGCGAAGGCAAUCCCCUGGGCCUGCACUGACGCUCAUGCACGAAAGCGUGGGGAGCAAACA
rnacentral:rRNA from 1 species